GACUCUGUCUCUACAAAAAGAAAAAAUAAAGUCUAUCCAUUCAACAAAAUAGCAGGCUACCUGAAUAGAUGAGACUGGCUCACAUGUAGCAGAGGAUAUGUGAUAAGGCAGUAGGUAAGAAGGUCUGCAGUGACAUGGUUCAGGAUCCCAGGUGCAACUCUUUCUUCCACUUCCUGCAAUUCCUCACAUUUUCAAUUUUAGGGCUGUGAACUUCACAGCAAUAAGGACCAGCUAAGAAGAAGCCUAUGAAAUUGGCUUGCACGCCAUCCAGCACUGCAUAUAUCUAAAUAAAGUCGUAAAUAAAUACAUGUGUUAUUUUUAAUCCUAACCUUGGAGAAACAGAGAAGAGGAAAUGAAGCACACAUGAGACCGGAUGAAGGAGAACGUGCCUGCCAGUGUGGGAAAAGCCCUCAGCAGCAUCAGUCAUCUGGCAGUGGUGGCAAAUGGAGUGAGCAGAGAUGAAAUAUCUGCAUUCCACUGGUGGCCGUGAUAGUAAUAGAAAAUGCAUAAGGCGAAAGUGUUCUCACAGGUCCAUAUAGGAGAGCGAAUCAUCCUGGAUCACGCGUGUCUGAGGUCCUGAGCUUCACACCUUGUGUCAGGUGUGUGUUGCCAGUGGAGAAACUGAGCUGCGUGCAUUCUUGCGCAUGAGCCAGACGCCUUGACAGAUGAUUAUUCUUUUCUGCUUGACCUCAAGUUACAGAGAUGCCAGAUGAAGUCAAAGAGGAUACCAGAUGCACCCAGGCUGCUGGGGAGGCACGUACGUCUGAACUGGCCCAGGGCAGCUGUUCUCCAGGGCAGGGCUUGGCCAUGGCAGUGGCCCCAGCGCCUGCAUUCAGCCCAACCCACCAGGUCACUCCAGUCCAGUCUGUAAUGCUCAGAUCCCCAGGCAAUCGCAGGUCUGAGGCCGAAAGAACUAUGAGAAUGUGCAUGGUGAUAUCAGGCACAUGCUCUGAAUGAAGGAAGAGAAACCUAAGCACUUCAAGGGGCAGUGUUCAGAGGAGGGAAAAGACAGCAGGGUCUGCAUGUGAUCCCUACCUGGACUCUCUUAGAAACUCCAUUAUCCUCUUCUCCAACGAUGUAUUCCCAUUCCAGAAUUUCUUACCUUAACGUAUUCAGCCUAAGAUAACGUGCAGAAAUGAGUAAAUGGGGAAUUUUUACUUUUCUGCAA